rnacentral:rRNA from 1 species
AUGCCCAAGCUCAUCACCGUAUCUCUUGUCAGUGCAGCCGAAGAUAAUGUCAUCCACAUAGAUUUGGCAUACAAACAGUUCACCAUCAUAUGUGUUCGUGAAGAGUGUGGGAUCCAGAGAACCAGGUUUGAAGCCUUUGCUAUUCAGGAAGCCUUUGAGUGUGUCAUACCAAGCGCGAGGUGCUUGUUUGAGGCCAUGCAAUGCCUUGUUGAGAUUGUACACCAUGUUAGGACGCUUUGGGUCUUCAAAACCAGGUGGUUGUGCAACAUACACUUCUUCAAUUUUGCCAUUGAGGAAGGCGCUCUUUACAUCCAUUUGAUAUAG